AUUCCGCGUGGGUGAAGAAGGUCUUCGGAUUGUAAAGCCCUUUCGACAGGGACGAUGAUGACGGUACCUGUAGAAGAAGCCCCGGCUAACUUCGUGCCAGCAGCCGCGGUAAUACGAAGGGGGCUAGCGUUGCUCGGAAUUACUGGGCGUAAAGGGCGCGUAGGCGGCGCUGUUAGUCAGGCGUGAAAUUCCUGGGCUCAACCUGGGGACUGCGCUUGAUACGGCAGUGCUUGAGGAUGGAAGAGGCUCGCGGAAUUCCCAGUGUAGAGGUGAAAUUCGUAGAUAUUGGGAAGAACACCGGUGGCGAAGGCGGCGAGCUGGUCCAUUACUGACGCUGAGGCGCGACAGCGUGGGGAGCAAACAGGAUUAGAUACCCUGGUAGUCCACGCCGUAAACGAUGUGCGCUGGAUGUUGGGUGGCCUAGCCACUCAGUGUCGUAGCUAACGCGGUAAGCGCACCGCCUGG
rnacentral:rRNA from 1 species